GAUGAACGCUAGCGGCAGGCUUAAUACAUGCAAGUCGAGGGGCAGCAUGACUGUAGCAAUACAGUUGAUGGCGACCGGCAAACGGGUGCGGAACACGUACAGAACCUUCCUUCGAGCGGGGAAUAGCCCAGAGAAAUUUGGAUUAAUACCCCAUAGUAUUACGGAGUGGCAUCACUUUGUAAUUAAAGAUUUAUCACUUGAAGAUGGCUGUGCGGCUGAUUAGGUAGUUGGCGGGGUAACGGCCCACCAAGCCUGCGAUCAGUAACUGGUGUGAGAGCACGACCAGUCACACGGGCACUGAGACACGGGCCCGACUCCUACGGGAGGCAGCAGUAAGGAAUAUUGGUCAAUGGACGAAAGUCUGAACCAGCCAUGCCGCGUGGAGGAUGAAGGUCCUCUGGAUUGUAAACUUCUUUUAUAUGGGACGAAAAAAGGCUUUUCUAAGUCGUCUGACGGUACCAUAUGAAUAAGCACCGGCUAACUCCGUGCCAGCAGCCGCGGUAAUAC
rnacentral:rRNA from 1 species